CUCCUCCGCUCUUAAUGCUCAGCCUAUGAUGUGACGUAGGGCAGGCUAGUUUAAAAGCAAUACAGCUGAUUUGUGGCAAGCCUUCUGGCACUGGACCUGGCAGUACUAUUCAUCCCCAAUUAUGAACUGAACUUGGGCACACUGUAUCAUUAAAGAUGCAUUACUCUAGGACUGAGUGGGGCACCUGAAAAAAUUAAAACUUUGGAAACAAGUGA